UUAGGAGUCACGGGGGCUAGGGGGACGCUUUAGAGUGUUGCACUAGAGUACGAAACAUGCGCAGUGACCGAUUGUUCUGUUCUACUUUAUUGUAAUAAAUAGUUAUAAUUAAGUUGCCUACGUCCUCCUUUUCCUCCGGCACUACAGUUUUAUGGUUGACCGUGCUCGUUGACCAUGCUCGUGAGAUGCAUCUAUUGUAAAUACCAUCUGAUUUCUUCGGAUAAGGUGGCGAGAAGGCUACCCCAAAGAACGCCUAGAAGAGGAACAACAGUGUGUUGUCAGAAGAGAGAGAAGUCCGGCCAGGUGAGUCUGCUCACCUGAAGAGACAGACUCUGAGGAGGAGCAGCUGCCUUGUGUGUUGUAUUAAGUCACUGACAGGCCCAGAGGCACAGACAUCUCCCCAGGUGUUGUCGUCCCUCCUCUAUGCUUGGGGGGAGAUGGGCCUCCCCGGGUCCCCAAGCUUGACGGACAUCCGUUUAGCCGUGGCCACAUACAACUUUGACUCAGAGAUAGGCUUUCCCAAAGAAAGCCAAGAAGAAGAACAACAGUGUGUUGUCAGAGGAGAGAGAAGUCCGGCCAGGUGAGUCUGCUCACCUGAAGAGACAGACUCUGAGGAGGAGCAGCUCUGGACCUCCGGAUUGACCGCACGCUGACCAUCUACGGCAUCAGCCAGGACAACGACGCCAAGGCGUUGUCGCCCGGCGCCAUCCAGGUGUCCUGGAAGGAGCCGGAGCACAACACACAGGACAUCAUCGGCUACGUGCUGCACAUCCGGCGGUCCUCAGAACCGAGAACAGCGCCGGCUCCACGCAGGCCAGCGCCCGCCUCACCGUGCUGUGGGCCGACGGGCUCCCCGGGGCCCCCACACAGGUGCGGGCCCAGGCGUUGUCGCCCGGCGCCAUCCAGGUGUCCUGGAAGGAGCCGGAGCAGAACACACAGGACAUCAUCAGCUACGUGCUGCACAUCCGGCUGUCCUCAGGUGUUGUCGUCCCUCCUCUAAGCUUGGGGGGAGAUGGGCCUCCCCGGGUCCCCAAGCCUGACGGACAUCCGUUUAGCCGUGGCCACAUACAACUUUGACUCAGAGAUUGGCAGGAGGGACCAUCGCAAUACGACCGCGGCAGCGACUAUCAAUGCAUCGCCGAGAACAGCGCCGGCUCCGGCGAGCGAAGAGGGAAAAGCCCAGUGCCGAUACUGCAGCGGUACUGCACCGUGUUUUUGUUAUUUAUAUUUAUUCAUGU